CAAUAGCGUAUAUUAAAGUUGUUGCAGUUAAAAAGCUCGUAGUUGAAUUUCUGGCGGGCGCGCCGGUCUUCCAAGUGUUGUACUGGGCGCAGUCCGCCAUCCUUGUGGAGAGGGCUCGCAUUGAGUUGCGUGUCGGAUCUGCAUCAUUUACUGUGAAAAAAUUAGAGUGUUUAAAGCAGGCUGUCGCUUGAAUACAUUAGCAUGGAAUAAUAAGAUAGGACUUCGGUCUAUUUUGUUGGUUGCGAACCGAGGUAAUGAUUAAUAGGGAUAGUUGGGGGUAUUCAUAUUUAAUUGUCAGAGGUGAAAUUCUUGGAUUUAUGAAAGAUGAACAACUACGAAAGCAUUUACCAAGGAUGUUUUCAUUAA
rnacentral:rRNA from 1 species